AAGCUGGAGUGCUUCUGAAGUGAUGACGUCAUCAGAAGCAGAAGCUCAUCAGAAGCAGAUGGUCAUCAGAAGCAAGGUUUUCAUCAGAAGCGAAAUCAUCACCAGAAGCUACAAUUGAUCCGUAAAUUUAAACUGGAGAUUCAAAGUAGCUGUUUAACAUUUCAACCUUGUCUAAGAAGAACGAAGAAUUGAAAGGGAGACAUCAACGGUCAUUUGGAGAA
rnacentral:lncRNA from 1 species